GACGAACGCUGGCGGCGUGCUUAACACAUGCAAGUCGAACGAAGAGCGAUGGAAGCUUGCUUCUAUCAAUCUUAGUGGCGAACGGGUGAGUAACGCGUAAUCAACCUGCCCUUCAGAGGGGGACAACAGUUGGAAACGACUGCUAAUACCGCAUACGAUCCAAUCUCGGCAUCGAGACUGGAUGAAAGGUGGCCUCUAUUUAUAAGCUAUCGCUGAAGGAGGGGAUUGCGUCUGAUUAGCUAGUUGGAGGGGUAACGGCCCACCAAGGCGAUGAUCAGUAGCCGGUCUGAGAGGAUGAACGGCCACAUUGGGACUGAGACACGGCCCAGACUCCUACGGGAGGCAGCAGUGGGGAAUCUUCCGCAAUGGACGAAAGUCUGACGGAGCAACGCCGCGUGAGUGAUGACGGCCUUCGGGUUGUAAAGCUCUGUUAAUCGGGACGAAUGGUUCUUGUGCGAAUAGUGCGAGGAUUUGACGGUACCG
rnacentral:rRNA from 1 species